CAGGGGGGAGGAGGAGUUAAGAGAAGAGUGGGAAUGAGGAGGCCAAGGGGAAAAGGUGUUCCCUGGUGUCCCGAGGGGACAACAGGAAGUCAAGAUUUGCUGGUCUUCCUCUGGGGGGACCUCAUUGUCUCCAGCCAGACCCAAGAAUCACAGAAUUGAAAGGGGCACAAGAGGUUAACCUUGCGGUGCUUAAAUGUGAGAGGAGACAGCUGGAAGGGUCCCAACGGGGUCACGGAGGACCGACCCUGUGCCUGCUACGGUGAGCUGGAAACGGAGAGACAACGAAGUUAAGCAACUUGCUUAAACUCACACAGCCGGUAAACAGGGGAGCUGGGAUCUGAACCCAGAUGGUCGGGAUCCAGAGCCCGAGUGCACACACACACCAACCCCAUUGUGCUCUCUGGCUCCGUGCCGUGAGGCAGAAAAACUGUGAGCAGGCUUGCCGGGCACCUGCCAUCCUGUACCCCAGUCAGGGGUCCUGGUCUCCCCAGUUCUUCUCAUUGCUCCAUCUUUGGUCCUGUUUCCAGGAAUUAAUGUGCACAAGACACAUUAACAAAAAUGUUAUUUGGUUAGCUCAUUCAUGCUGCAAUGGAAUGAACACAGGCAUCAGAGCGAAGCAGACCCAG